rnacentral:lncRNA from 1 species
AUAGGAUCUCACUAUAUUGCCCAAAUGAUGUGUAAAGAAAAUACAAGGAAACGAACGAAUGCAGAGUUCUGAUAAAGAGGGGCAUGGUGUAGAAGAAAGAUGGACAGAAGGCCAGCAGCGAGGAGCACGGAGUAUUCACAGGGCCACCAACCCACACCCUGCCUGACCGCCAACAAUUCUGCCUCGGAAACCACAGGAAAUGCUGAAGACACCAGGGGGGCCAGAUGCUGGGGCCCACUGCUACAGUAAAUUCACUCUCCCCAACAGACCACGUCGGUGAAGAGGAGCGAAACUGCAAACGCCAAGAAAAGCCAUUGCUAAGCCGUUUUUAAUGUUCUAUGCCUUUAAAUACUAACCUAAAAGGAAAGAAAAUAGAAAUGAAAAAACUGGCCAACUUUGUGUUUAUUAUUAAACACAAUUCUGAUUAAACAAUUAACAUCAAAAUUAUCUAAAAAUAAAAACAAACCCCAUAUAAACAAACCAUUAAUAGGCUGUUGCCUUUUCUUUUGGGCAAAGAACAUUGCUUAUAGAUUGCCACCACCUAAAAAGGGACCUGAUUCAAGACUGUCAGACAGUGGAGACACUUAGGCAAGUGGCAAAUGAUGAGAAAAGUCACCUCGCAAACUGCAACACCUCAGUCUAAGUGUAAUAAGUGAACAAAGUAGAAAACAGCACAAGCCUGAAAAGCCAUGCAAGAAUAAAGGAAUCGGAGCACCCAGCACAGACGGUCACUGUGAGAGGGACAAGCUGAGGCCCUCCCAUCCCUGUCCGCUCCUACGGCCAUAUCGUGGCUGCCACGGCCAGCUGGACCUUGAGAUAUGCUCUCGCCGAUGCGAGGACACGGCAGGAGUAGGAAGAGACGCUAACACUGCUGAGAACCCAGCUGAAGCUGUCCCAGUGGCAGAGCUGGGGGACAGAGGCUUUAGAAAGACACAGAAGCCGGUUCGCAAGCUGACCGUGGUGUCUGGUCACGGCAGUGGGCAGUUCACGUGGCGCCCCAGUGGGAAGGGCAGCGCCAGAGCUUUGCGGAGAACGGAGUGGGACAGACAGAGUGGAGGUGGGGCAGAGGGUCAGCUGGGGCCGGCAGAAAGCCGCAGCAGGACAGGUGAAGGAGCAGGGCGUCACGGGGGGAGUGGUGCGGGAGGAGCAGGCAGGAGGCAGCGUGAGGCCUCCAAACUAAAACCGCAGCAUUCAGGUUUCACUGCAGCACUGGCGCUUGUGUUGGGAUAGAUAAUGGGUUUGGGACACCCAGUCUUUAACAGGUUCGCCUUCACGGCCUUAGCCUCAACCUCAAAAUCAAACAUCUCCAAAAGCCACACCUCUCUUCCUGGUGUAAGACGUACAAGUGGUGGCAAAACCAAGCCCAAACGGACACAGGAUUAUUCAUGUUUACUUCCCUGGUAAAUAUUCAUGUUCGAACACAUGCUCUUCCCCAGACGUCCAGGAGGGGUUAUAUCUUGAUGCUCACUCUAUUCUUUCCGAAAUCUGAACACCUCUGCAUUCUGACAUCUGGCAUAGCAAUUUGAGGUGAGGGAAUUUUGCAAGUUAUUAACGCGUCCAUUAAAAAUUAAACUCUAUAUUUACAAUUUAAUUAAUAAAGUUGAGAAACACUUAGCACUCGUCACUUCCUUAUUACUCCCCUGCAUUUUACUUGCACAUAUGGUCUUGCAUUGAUUUAUGUCUACUGAGUCUGUACAGCAGAAAUAUCACAGAAUAGUGCGUGGCGCUGUGCACCCACUUCCACACUCGGGAACAGGCACCGGCUCUGUACAGCCCACUACUGUAACAAGCACCUGAGAUGGCAGCUCGUGAAGAGAAAGGGUUUGCGCUGGCUGACGGUUUCAGGGGUUUCCGUCCCAGUCAGCUGGGCUCCCUGCUCCUGCCCUGUGUAGGCAGAGCAGAGCCGCUCCCCGCUCGGGGCUGGGAAGUGAAGGCAGCAUGGAAGGGCACCUUCCCGAUGACCUGAAGAUACUGCCCUCGGCCUCACUCCUAAAGCUUCCACCCUGGCCCACGGGCCCACGUUGGGGACCGAGCCUUCAUGUGGGCAGCGGGGACCCUCCACACCCAGAGGGCAGCAGCCAG